rnacentral:ribozyme from 1 species
UUCCCAGCAACUCCUAUCCCUACCUCCUCGUGGUACCGGCCGGAAACAACGAGCAACCUUAGGGAAGAUCGGGUAACCAAACUCGGAGGGAACUUUGGUCGUAGGCUGACAGGGAAGA